rnacentral:rRNA from 1 species
AGAUGGCGGCCGGCGCACGGGUGAGUAACACGUAUCCAACCUGCCGAUAACUCGGGGAUAGCCUUUCGAAAGAAAGAUUAAUACCCGAUGGCAUAAUAGAACCGCAUGGUUUGAUUAUUAAAGAAUUUCGGUUAUCGAUGGGGAUGCGUUCCAUUAGGCAGUUGGUGGGGUAACGGCCCACCAAACCUUCGAUGGAUAGGGGUUCUGAGAGGAAGGUCCCCCACAUUGGAACUGAGACACGGUCCAA